CUCAUUUCAGGGCGUGAAACUAUAAAUUCUGUGUAAUUAUGUUGGAAUAACCAGGCAGGACAUGCUGUUAAGCUCUGUGAUGAACUGGCCUGUCCAGGCGCACUCCACCUCUCGCCCAAUGUCAGCUGGGAUUGGAUCCAGCCCCCUGCGACACUCCCGAGGAUAAUGAUGACGAAACAAGUCUCAGACCACCGCACUACCACCGGCUGGACAGAGAGGAAACGGCAGACUGGAAAUCUGGACCAAGAAAGUACAGGGAAUCCCAUCUACGUGGCUCAUGACUACCAGGAACUGCUUGAAGAGCGGCAGGGGAGUGUUGUUGGCCACCAGCUAACUGAUCUUGAAGGAAAAGAGUGAAAUAUUGCCUUCUCACUCCUGUGAGCAGCAGCAAAAACAAAACUCUCCUAUGUAGCCUAUAAUGAACAAUGAUUAUACUGUGAAUCUGUGCACUAAUGGCUUAAUUAUGAACUCACAUGCAAGGGAUAGUUUUCAACAUGAUUCCCUGUGGUAACAUAAUUCAGUUUCCUUGGCUCCUUCCUGUGCAUGUGUGCUCAUAAAUCCUUUCUGAUGCAUUGUUACACAGAAUUGUUGCACUGAAUACCUGGAUUCCACUGAAAAUAAGUAACCACAGGAUAGGCAUAUUUUACAAAUGGGUUAGGUUACAGAAUCAAUUAAAUUGUUAAAAAAGAAGCAGAGGUCAAGAUAUCUAAGCUUCAAGCAUGCAGAAUCCUGCAUUUCCCACAGUGUUUUUAUUGGAACCCUGCUACGUGUGUGUAGCACAUCAGACUUUCACACACCUGCAGUUAACGUUUAUGCCUAUUUAUCAACUGUCGCCUCAAACUCGACCAUCAGUUUUACUUGUCUAACCCUUAUCAUGCAGCUAUGAUUCUAACAGCAUGUUAGAAGUUCUUAACAG